UCUGGUGGCGAUGGCGAGAAGGCCACACCCGUUCCCAUGCCGAACACGGAAGUUAAGCUUCUCAGCGCCGAUGGUAGUUGGGGCACUGCCCCUGCGAGAGUAGGACGCUGCCAGGC
rnacentral:rRNA from 1 species